GAUGAACGCUGGCGGCGUGCUUAAUACAUGCAAGUCGAGCGAAUGAAGAGGAGCUUGCUCCUCUGAUUUAGCGGCGGACGGGUGAGUAACACGUGGUAAUCUGCCUGUAAGACGGGGAUAACUCCGGGAAACCGGGGCUAAUACCGGAUAAUAAGAAGAAACGCAUGUUUCUUUUUUGAAAGUCGGUUUCGGCUGACACUUACAGAUGAGCCCGCGGCGCAUUAGCUAGUUGGUGAGGUAACGGCUCACCAAGGCGACGAUGCGUAGCCGACCUGAGAGGGUGAUCGGCCACACUGGGACUGAGACACGGCCCAGACUCCUACGGGAGGCAGCAGUAGGGAAUCUUCGGCAAUGGGCGAAAGCCUGACCGAGCAACGCCGCGUGAGCGAUGAAGGCCUUCGGGUCGUAAAGCUCUGUUGUUAGAGAAGAACAAGUACGAGAGUAACUGCUCGUACCUUGACGGUACCUAACCAGAAAGCCACGGCUAACUACGUGCCAGCCGCCGCCGUAACAC
rnacentral:rRNA from 1 species